CCCUUAGAUGUUCUGGGCCGCACGCGCGCUACACUGAAUGGAUCAACGUGUUUUCCCUUCCCGAGAGGGACGGGUAACCCGCUGAACCCCAUUCGUGGUAGGGAUCGGAGCUUGCAAUUGUUCUCCGUGAACCAGGAAUUCCCAGUAAGCGCAAGUCAUAAGCUUGCGUUGAUUACGUCCCUGCCCUUUGUACACACCGCCCGUCGCACCUACCGAUUGAAUGGUCCGGUGAGGACUCGGGAUUGUGGUUUAGCUCCUUCAUUGGGGCCUGACUGCGAGAACUUGUCCGAACCUUAUCAUUUAGAGGAAGGUGAANUCGUANCA
rnacentral:rRNA from 1 species